AUUGCUCUCGGCCGUUCGCUCCUCGCCCGGCGGCGUCUGGCCAUUGCUCGGGCAGGAGAGCGGGGCAGCGCCUGUCCCGGGGGCCCCUGCUCCCCCCGGGCAUUGCCACCGUAUGCUCAGAGCGGGGCAUCCGCCAGCAGCAGGUCCGGCUCUUGGGGUGACUUGUUAAGGGGGGAAGAUGCUUCCUCGAUAGAGGUUUCCUAACAUGAGAAGAGGAAUGAGAAGAGAGAGGUUGAAGCCUGAGGCAGGAGCCAUUGCUGUCCAGAGGAUGCAAGGAGAAAGGGGUGGUAAGUGGUAGUAAUGGGCUUCCACACAGAUGACUCUCCCUGUAUGCCUCCCCCAUAAAAAACUCAACACAAAACACCCCAAACUAUAUGGAUUACUAGCAUCCAGGCAUUUUGGUUCAAAGUCACCAGCAGCUUCUGCAGUGGACUGGAGAAGCAACCCUCCAAUCUAUAAAUGAAAAGGGUAACUGCACAUUCCAAGAUCUACAAAGGUACUUAGGCACCCAAGUCCCUUUUUUAGGUGCCACUGCAAUCCACAAAAUUCCUGCUUGGCUACCACCUAAACUUGUAGAUGCCUAAAUUUACUUGGCACCUAAUUUUUUUCCUCUGGGCAUGAGCAUGACAGCCUCACUCUGUGUGCCCAGGCACCUACCUCCUGCAUAAGCCCCAGAGAGAGUAAGUCACAAACUGAGAACAACAGUUGUUCAGCUGCUCCAGAUGCAUGCAGGGGCCUGCCUACUAGAUUAUGCUCCUCAGGCAAGUUCAUACAGAGCAGCUGGGGAGGGGGGAAAGAGAGAGGAGUCUUUACCCUAUAUAAUCUUUACCUUAGUUGUUAGGGUACUCACCCAUCCAGGAUGUGGGAGACCCCCAGCUUAACAGGGAUCUGCUACCUCUUAGGUGAGUGCUGCAACCACCAGGCUAUAGAGUCAUUCUUACUCUUAAACAUUAGUUGGGCUAGAUAAAGUAUAACAUUGUUUAAUCAAAGUGGAACAACUUCAGUAGCAGAGAUUGAAAGAGACCCACAUCAGACUAUCCCAUAGCCCACAGUGGCUAGGGCACUCAUCUGAGAGGUGGCAGAUCCCUUUUUAAAUAUCUUCUCCCCUUCAGGAGGACAUGGUACUUGAUCUGGGGGUCUCCACAUCCUGGGCGAGUAAUCUAACCACCUGACUAAAGAUCAUAAUAGAGCUUCCUCUCCCCCCCCAGCUGUUUUGUUUCAGGUCCUGCACACAACUUAAGUGGCCAAGGAUCUAUCUUCCCCCACAUUAUGGAUCACUAGCAGAUCUAGGCGCCUCUUUCCGAGGAGGGGUGCUUUUCUCACACCCCUCUGAUCAAUGUCUCCCACUGGCUAGCUUAGGCAGCUCCCUUGUAGCUUGCAUUCUGAUGUGCCUGUCUCUCCACAUUCAUUGUAUAAGAGCCUAGGCACCAAACUUGGGCUUUGUGGAUCACAGUGAUUUUCCAGUCACCUAAAGGUAGGUGCUGUGACACUCAGCUUUGCAAUGCCUAAAACUCUUUGUGGAUCCCACCCUAUGUCUUUAAGGCAUAACUAUUACUGUACUGUACUGCUAACACUACAGCCCUAGAACACAUAUAAAAGGGAUGAUGGCCAGACUUGUGUGGAAUAUUACGCCAAGACUGAAAAGAUCCUGCUGCUGCAAAGGAACCCUCUUCCCCCCCUAAAAAACAAAUACACAGAACCAAAAAACCUACUGUCUUCAUAUUCAUAGAUAUAGGGGUGGAGAGAGUAGGAGGUUUAAUACAAAAAUCCUGGCAGCACCAUUGUCAUUUUGUCAGGCAAUCACUGAGUUUUACAGAUGGGAAAUCAGAAGCACAGCAAAGGUAGUUUGCCCAAGGUCGCACAUCAAAGCAGAGGCAGAGUUCGGAACAAAAUCCUGUUCUUUGGUACAGUCAUUAGACAAGAGCUUUUCUGUAGAAUCUCAGAGUUAUGAACUGACCGGUCAGCCACACACCUCAUUUGGAACUGGAAGUAUGCAAUCAGGCGGCAGCAGAGA